AUACCCGGUCUUAAGCAAGUAUGAUUUUCAGACGCUAAAACUCGAAUAAGAAAAAAAAAAUUAAAAACGAAGCGUCGAUUCUUUCCCUCAAAUUUUCCCAAACCAUCCCUCCAAAUAAAACAUAAAAAAAGCCCUAGACACAAGCAAAACUGACGAGGCAAAUCUCCCUCUGCCUACUUUCCGCCUGUUCUCUAGAGUUCAAGAACAGAUUCUUGCCUAUCCCUUAUUUGUCCAUUAAGUCCGUUUUCCGCUAAACUCAGUACUCUUUCAUCACCAUCGCCCAAUGUGCCAUCUCUAAUAUUCGCCUUUUUUAUGAAGUUUGGGUCUUUUGUUUGAUUUGCAAAGCUGACAUGAGGCUUCGGAGGGUGGAUGUUUGACAAUAAUCCUCAAAAUUCUUUUUUAUCAAUUUAUAAUCAAAGUGUUCAACAGUGAUAAUUUCCCAGGUUUAUGUGUGACUAGUGGCUUAGUGGCAUAGCGACAUGGUUGAUACAGAGACUUAGAUUGGUGCCUUUGGCAAUCUCGGAUGGAGUUUUUUUUGGCUGCAAGGACAGUUUUCAAGAGAAGCUGGUUCAGAUCAGGAUUUCAAAGUUUGAAGAAUCUGUCUAGGAAGAAAGUGCAGAGCAAGUACAAGCAGCAAUCGAAUAUGUUAAAGAUCAAGUUGAAGCACAAAAGAGACACAUUUUUGGUUUCCUUAGGCGUUAUUUAAGAUAUUUUUAUAUGUAAUGCUACAAUAUCAUACAAUUUAUAUUGGUACAUUUUUGGUAA